rnacentral:rRNA from 1 species
AACAUGUCUGUGUGAGUAUUAAUUAUAAAGUCUAGCCUGCCCACUGAUUGUUUAAAGGGCCGCGGUAAUUUGACCGUGCGAAGGUAGCAUAGUCAGUAGUCUUUUAAUUGAAGGCUUGAAUGAAGGGUUGGACGAGGGGUAAGCUGUCUCCAUUGCAUGGCUUGAAUUUAACUUUUGAGUGAAAAGGCUUAAAUUGUUUAGUGGGACGAUAAGACCCUAUAAAACUUGAUAUGGGCUUAGCUUGGUUUGCAAUUUUGGGUGAAAAGGUGUUUUGCUUGGCCUAUAUUUUGUUGGGGAGAUGUAGAUAUAACGUGUAACUGUCUGUUGAAUUUAAUAGUUAUGAUUAGUGUGUGAUCCUUCAUUUGGGGAUUAGGAGAGUAAGUUACUUUAGGGAUAACAGCGUGAUUUUCUUC